rnacentral:rRNA from 1 species
AACGAAAGCUGGAGGCAUGCCUAACACAUGCGAGUCGAACGAGACCUUCGGGUCUAGUGGCGCACGGGUGCGUAACGCGUGGGAACCUGCCCUUAGGUUCGGAAUAACUCCCCGAAAGGGGUGCUAAUACCGGAUAAUGUCUUCGGACCAAAGAUUUAUCGCCUUUGGAUGGGCCCGCGUUGGAUUAGCUAGUUGGUAGGGUAAAAGCCUACCAAGGCGACGAUCCAUAGCUGGUCUGAGAGGAUGAUCAGCCACACUGGGACUGAGACACGGCCCAGACUCCUACGGGAGGCAGCAGUGGGGAAUAUUGGACAAUGGGCGAAAGCCUGAUCCAGCAAUGCCGCGUGAGUGAUGAAGGCCUUAGGGUUGUAAAGCUCUUUUACCCGGGAUGAUAAUGACAGUACCGGGAGAAUAAGCUCCGGCUAACUCCGUG